rnacentral:rRNA from 1 species
UACGUAGGGUGCGAGCGUUAAUCGGAAUUACUGGGCGUAAAGCGUGCGCAGGCGGUUUUGUAAGCCAGAUGUGAAAGCCCCGGGCUUAACCUGGGAAUGGCAUUUGGGACUGCAAGGCUUGAGUGCGGCAGAGGAGACUGGAAUUCCUGGUGUAGCGGUGAAAUGCGCAGAUAUCAGGAGGAACACCGGUGGCGAAGGCGGUUCUCUGGGCAUGAUCUGACGCUGGAGGAGCGAAAGUGUGGGGAGCGAACAGGGA